rnacentral:rRNA from 1 species
AGAGUUUGAUCAUGGCUCAGAUUGAACGCUGGCGGCAGGCUUAACACAUGCAAGUCGAACGGUAACAGAAGAUAGCUUGCUAUUUUGCUGACGAGUGGCGGACGGGUGAGUAAUGCUUGGGAAUUUACCAAAAGGUGGGGGACAACAGUUGGAAACGACUGCUAAUACCGCAUAACGUCUACGGACCAAAGGUGGCCUCUAUUUAUACGCUAUCGCCUUUUGAUGAGCCCAAGUGGGAUUAGCUAGUUGGUAAGGUAAUGGCUUACCAAGGCGACGAUCCCUAGCUGGUCUUAGAGGAUGACCAGCCACACUGGAACUGAGACACGGUCCAGACUCCUACGNNAGCCACCAGUGGGGAAUAUUGCACAAUGGAGGGAACUCUGAUGCAGCCAUGCCGCGUGUGUGAAGAAGGCUUUCGGGUUGUAAAGCACUUUCAG